rnacentral:tRNA from 1 species
CCGGCGCCAGUGCGGCGGCGGGCAUUGCGCUGAUCAACUCGGUGGGCAACCUCGGUGGCUACAUCGGCCCGUUCGUGAUCGGCGCGCUGAA